GCUACUUUGAGGGUAAUUAUGUCUAAAUCAGGUGAGCGUUACUUUGAGGGUAGUUAUGUCUAAAUCAGGUGAGCGUUACUUUGAGGGUAGUUAUGUCUAAAUCAGGUGAGCGUUGCUUUGAGGGUAGUUAUGUCUAAAUCAGGUGAGCAUUACUUUGAGGGUAAUUAUGUCUAAAUCAGGUGAGCGUUACUUUGAGGGUAGUUAUGUCUAAAUCAGGUGAGCGUUACUUUGAGGGUAGUUAUGUCUAAAUCAGGUGAGCAUUACUUUGAGGGUAAUCAUGUCUAAAUCAGGCCAGCGCUACUUUGAGGGUAAUUAUGUCUAAAUCAGGUGAGCGUUACUUUGAGGGUAGUUAUGUCUAAAUCAGGUGAGCGUUGCUUUGAGGGUAGUUAUGUCUAAAUCAGGUGAGCAUUACUUUGAGGGUAAUUAUGUCUAAAUCAGGUGAGCGUUACUUUGAGGGUAGUUAUGUCUAAAUCAGGUGAGCGUUACUUUGAGGGUAGUUAUGUCUAAAUCAGGUGAGCAUUACUUUGAG